CGAACGGGUGAGUAAUGCGUGACCAACCUGCCCCAUGCUCCAGAAUAGCUCUUGGAAACGGGUGGUAAUGCUGGAUGCUCCAACUUGACGCAUGUCUUGUUGGGAAAGUGUUUAGUGGCAUGGGAUGGGGUCGCGUCCUAUCAGCUUGUAGGCGGGGUAAUGGCCCACCUAGGCUUCGACGGGUAGCCGGCCCUGAGAGGGCGGACGGCCACAUUGGGACUGAGAUACGGCCCAGACUCCUACGGGAGGCAGCAGGC
rnacentral:rRNA from 1 species